GGGGGAAUAUUGGACAAUGGGGGAAACCCUGAUCCAGCAACGCCGCGUGGGCGAAGAAGGCCUUCGGGUUGUAAAGCCCUUUUCUGAGGGAAGAGGAAGGACGGUACCUCAGGAAUAAGUCUCGGCUAACUACGUGCCAGCAGCCGCGGUAAAACGUAGGAGGCGAGCGUUAUCCGGAUUUACUGGGCGUAAAGGGCAAGUAGGCGGUGGCCAAAGUUGGGCGUGACAUCUCCCGGCUCAACUGGGAGGGGUCGCUCAAAACUAGGCGACUUGAGGGCAGGAGAGGGAAGCGGAAUUCCUAGUGUAGCGGUGGAAUGCUCAGAUAUUAGGAAGAACACCAGUGGCGAAGGCGGCUUCCUGGCCUGUACCUGACGCUGAGAGGCGAAAGCUAGGGGAGCGAACGGG
rnacentral:rRNA from 1 species